UUUACGCAGCUAUUCAACACGGAAUAGAAUCACACGGGACAUUACAACUCCUUUCUUGUAACUUUCUGGUCAUAAAAUAAACUUAGUUGAAAAUUUCAUCGGAUAUAUUGUUUCCAGAUAACGUAUCGGUGGUAGUUACAGCGCCUGAAUCAAGAUGUUACCAUUUUAAAAGAAUGAAGGCCUAUCCAUUCUGGGAACAAUAUUGUGGAGAUUGCAUAUUGCGACAAUGCCUGAAGUUGAACCACUCAGAUUUCCAUCAAGGGAAGACGGGCCAAGUUUACAAGAUCAGGUAGAUCUUCAAGCAGUGUGCCCCAGCAGACGUCGCAGUUGUGCCCUGGUUAACACACCCUCGCCGUGCGUCAACAAAGCUGUUUGCCAUAUUCAGGAGCUGAAGAGGAAAGUGGAGAACUGGUGUCAACAGGCAGGAAAUGUUCAGCAUCAGAUGUCUCAUGAAAAACAGCAAAAAAGCAAAACUUUUAGAUUGAAUUCCAGUGAAUCUGUGUCUUCAAUGAUACCUACAGAGUUAUACAUCGAAGGCAUUGGACUAAGUGCAAGAGGUGAAAGAGAGGGUGACCUGUUGUCUCCGCUGCGUAAGGAAACCACGGACGUCCUGGUAGAAGUAGUGUAUCUGAUUGAACGUCUGGAAGCUGAUCGCCAGGAUGCAGAGGAGGCUCUACAGUCGGAGAAGAAGAGAAGGAGAACUUUAGGGAGGAAAAUGUAUAGUAUUUCACUGUGGAAGCAGCAGGAGUUCCCUGUAGCUGUCCAGAAAGAGCACGAGGCCUGUACCAGAGACAUCAGUGAAUUGAAAUGGCAUCUGAAAAUGAGAAGAGAUAAACUUCACCAAGUGACAGAUAGAUUGAUCAAGACAGAAGUUCUGAAUCGGCGGUUAAAUGAGGACAUUGAUUUCAUCAAGAAAAAUGGGCCUCUGGUGAAGGAAAAACUGCAGCUGGAGAGCGAUUUCAUGAUCCAAAUUAAUACGGCUCAACAUAAGGCCCUUGAGACAUUUUCAAAGACCUUCAGUGAACUGAAGAGUUUUCAAGAAGAGAUGAGAAAGGAAGAACUGAAAGCAGAUGAGGAUAGAGGGUUGAUGUUCAAUGAACUUAAGGGCAUCAGGAAUCUGCUAAAUGACAGACUAACUGAGUUCCAGCAGCUGAUAGAUUAUUGGGAUGGCUACUGCAUUACAUUGAAGGAGACAGAGGAGAGGGUAGCUUUGAAGGAGGAGGAGUUGGGAGACAUGUCACAACAUAUCCCUGUGCUAGAGGUGCAGGAGACUGCAGUCAAUGAUCUGGUUGUGGAGUUGAACAUAUUUAUUGAGGUUGAAGGUAGAAAAAUUGCACAAUUAAAGGAAGAGAUUUCAGAGCUGCAGAAAGAAGUCCAUGCAACUAGACUUGCAGGUGAAGCGGCGGUCUCUCACUCCGAGGAGGUGUUCUGUAAGAAGCAUCAGGACAUCUUGGCUCUCCAUGAGGAAAACAAAGAGUAUGAACUAGAGACUGAGGACUACAGUAACACGAUCUAUGAGAGUGAGCAGGCGGUGAAGCAGCUUCAGAAGGAGAGGAAGCGCAUGCUACAGAAGAUCAGUGUGAAUGAGGAACAGAGAGAAGAGGCCAAGGAGGAGUUGUCCCAGGUGGCAGCAAUGCACGCUAACACCAAGGUCAACCUGGAGGAGCUGGAGCAGCAGACCUUCAUGGAGGAGCAGAGGAUGAGGAAAGUGAUUGAGAAUCUGAAGAAAGACAUUAUGAGCGAGAUGAAAGCCAUGGCCAUUCUGAAGGAUACAUUAACAACAUUUAAAGCAGAAUUACACCAGGAGCAAAACAACACAGAAAACGCCAGAUGGGAACUUCAUAAGGAAUUUGAAGAGGUGUCAUCAGCUACAAAACAACUGGAAAUUGAAAUGGAAAAACUGAGAAAGAUUUACAAUGAUAAAUCUGAGAAAAUUGAACGUUUAAGGGAGAAACUCUGUGAUAUUCUAACAGAACACAAAAACACUACAAAUUGUCUGGAAAAGGAAAGGAACCUGAAACGUGACCAUCUAAAUACAGUCAAGGAAUUACACCAAGAUGUUACCAAGAGGUUUGACCACGCCUUGAGCAGAAUCACAGUCCUCACUGCUAAGUCCAAAGAGUACAGAACAGGGUCUGACAGGAUGGAGGAAACAGCAGCCACAAUGCCAGGUGUCAUUGAAGAACUACAGUCCGUCUUUGAUGCCGUAGAGUUCAAAAACCAAACAGCUACGUUGAUCAUGAACACCUUAGAACGUGAUAUCAACAACUGUCGACAACGGAUUGAGCAAGCAGUACAAACUCACACUACUCUAUUCACAACCAGACAGCAACACAUGGAGGAAACCAAGUGUAAUGAAAGACGCUGGGAUACUAGAAGCAAGUACAGGGAGUGAACAUUUAAUAAAUAACGGACAUGAAACAGAACAUGGACAGCGUCUGGACAGGGGAAACAAAACAACAUUAAUGCUGACGGGAUCAAACUGAGGAACAGACAAAUAUAGAGGGGGCAAUCGACAAAGUGAAGGAGUCCAGGUGUUGCCCAUCUUCCACAUUAUCCCCUGUGUAUUUUCUACCUGACACAACCUGGUCUGUUUCACCUGUCCUUGUGCUUGUCUCCACCCCCUCCAGGUGUCACCCAUCUUCCCCAUUAUCCCCUGUGUAUUUAUACCUGUGUUUUCUGUCUGUCUGUGCCAGUUCGUCUUGUUUGCCGAGUCAACCAGCGUUUUUCUACUAGCUCCUGUUUUUUUUACCAGUCUCUGUUUUUCUCAUCCUCCUGGUUCUGACCUUUGCCUGUCCUGACUCUGAGUCUGCCUGCCCCUGACCUCGAGCCUGCCAGCCGGCCUGUACCGUAUUGGACUCUGACCUGGUUCUGACCUUUGCCUGUCCUGGCUCUGAGUCUGCCUGCCCCUGACCUCGAGCCUGCCAGCCGGCCUGUACCGUAUUGGACUCUGACCUGGUUCUGACCUUUGCCUGUCCUGACUCUGAGUCUGCCUGCCCCUGACCUCGAGCCUGCCAGCCGGCCUGUACCGUAUUGGACUCUGACCUGGUUCUGACCUUUGCCUGUCCUGGCUCUGAGUCUGCCUGCCCCUGACCUCGAGCCUGCCAGCCGGCCUGUACCGUAUUGGACUCUGACCUGGUUCUGACCUUUGCCUGUCCUGACUCUGAGUCUGCCUGCCCCUGACCUCGAGCCUACCAGCCGGCCUGUACCGUAUUGGACUCUGACCUGGUUCUGACCUUUGCCUGUCCUGACUCUGAGUCUGCCUGCCCCUGACCUCGAGCCUGCCAGCCGGCCUGUACCGUAUUGGACUCUGACCUGGUUAUGAACUCUUGCCUGUCCCCGACCUCCCUUUUGCCUACCCCUUGGACUAUAAUAAAUAUCAGAACUCAAACCAUCUGCCUCUUGUGUCUGCAUCUGGGUCUUGCCUUGUGUCGUUAUAUUAUGCCAAGACUCUAGCAAUGAUCAACAACCAAUUUGACAGAACUUUAAGAAUUUUGAAAAUAAUAAUGAGCAAAUAUUGUACAAUCCCUGUGUGCAAAGCUCUUAGAGGCUUAUCCAGAAAGACUCACAGCUAUAAUCAGUGCCAAAAGUAUUUCUAAAUAUAUGGACACCGGUGUGAAUACUAUAAAUUAGAUAUUUCUGUAUUUAUUU